rnacentral:rRNA from 1 species
GAUGAACGCUGGCGGCGUGCCUAAUACAUGCAAGUCGAGCGAACGGACGAGAAGCUUGCUUCUCUGAUGUUAGCGGCGGACGGGUGAGUAACACGUGGAUAACCUACCUAUAAGACUGGGAUAACUUCGGGAAACCGGAGCUAAUACCGGAUAAUAUUUUGAACCGCAUGGUUCAAAAGUAAAAGACGGUCUUGCUGUCACUUAUAGAUGGAUCCGCGCUGCAUUAGCUAGUUGGUAAGGUAACGGCUUACCAAGGCAACGAUGCAUAGCCGACCUGAGAGGGUGAUCGGCCACACUGGAACUAAGACACGGUCCAGACUCCUACGGGAGGCAGCAGUAGGGAAGCUUCCGCAAUGGGCGAAAGCCUGACGGAGCAACGCCGCGUGAGUGAUGAAGGUCUUCGGAUCGUAAAACUCUGUUAUUAGGGAAGAACAUAUGUGUAAGUAACUGUGCACAUCUUGACGGUACCUAAUCAGAAAGCCACGGAUAACUACGUG